CCUAGAGUAGAAGAUAGAAGAAUUUGGCCACCUUGUGGGUGAUGUUCCCCUGUAGACACCUCUGUACCUGUCACAAACAUGGAUUGCUUGGGGCUUGGUCUUCCAGCUCUGUUUAUAGGUGUGACCUUGGAGUUGACCUGGGAGGACUGCCCUACUGCCCUGCUGUGUCUUGACCGUGUAAGCACGGUCAAUUGUGUCAAGACAAAGGUCAAUUGUGUGACCCUGAGCUAGCAACCAUAUCUUUGGGGGCCUAAGUUUCCUUCUUUCCAAACGGGCAACUACAGAGUUGAAAUUUGAUAUGAGGUAAAAGGGAGCUAUUGUAGUCUGUGGAGAUGAUGGAAUAGCAGGCCGAUACUCAAGCCUCGUCCUUCUCCCAACAGUCUGUCUCUCAAAAUGGAGGAGGGUUUUUCCUGUUCUUGCAGGAUCACGUGGGAGGGACCUACCGGGCCACGGGGAGCCAGAAUCAUUAGCCAGUGCUGGGGCUAAGGCACCACCCACAGCUUGCAACCUUUUUGGCACACCUUUCAGACUGGGCUCCCAUGGGUUCCUGCCACCCACACCUGGACUCUCCUCACCUUAAUCUCCUUGAUGUUCGGGUUCCACUCUCCCAUCGCUUCCAUGUGCUCCACAAGCUCUUCAUAAAGCCUCUCCAUGGGCUGGUCCACCACCACCUCCAACCGGAACACCUUGCCCAUAUCUGGGACCACUUUACUCAGUACCGUGUCCCCAUUUGCCUGUCAGGGAGAAAAAAAGGAGCUUCAGGAUAAAGUUUACAGAAAAAUAUUCCUAGGCAGGAAUAUGACAAGGACAGGCAAGGCAGGAACAGCACAAAGAACUCUAAGCAUGAGGAAGCCUAAAAUUACUUCUUCUAAGACAGUUGGUCAUCUUUCCCGCCAUGAGCCUCAUACAUCUGCUGAAACCUUGAGCAGUAA